GGCAGAGACUGAAGAGACAGGCUGUGAAGCUAUGGAGCUCAGUGUGAGAUAAUGUAGCAGCCUAGGUUGGGGUGACUUGCACUCAAAUUCUGUUCCCAAAGUUAAGCCUGUUCUUUACUAAAGAGACAAGCAUGGAGCAGGACAUCAGGAUCCGCUGCAGAGGUCUCUGAUAAUAGUUCAGUGAUAUGGUGGUGCAUGCCCGGGACCCCCACACUUGAAGGACUGAAGCAUGAGGAUUGCUGCAAGUUUAAGGCCAGCAAGGACUACAUAGUGAGACUCUGUUAAAACUACAAAACAAAACAAAAAGAGGCAAAAUGCAUAGGAAGCAUACAGGAAUCAGGAGACUAACAUGGUCAGAGAUUCCAGUGACUGUCUAGAAUCAAAGUUUUCUCAACAAGCUGAAACCAAAAAGAUGAUUAUAACCUGGAAAACAUGUCUCUGGAACCUUUUGAUAGAGUCAGUUUGGAAUGCAAAGCCUUCACAUCAUGAAAAGUAGAAAGGCUGACGAGCACUCUGAUGUUCUAAAUCUAAGCUCUCUGGUUACCUGUGUCAGAGGACCUGCCUCAUGCUCAUGCCUCAGUCUCAUCACCUCAGCCCUUACCUCUUCCUCACUCAGCUCCUGAGGACAAACUGGGAGGAAGAAAUUGAGUUGGAGAGAAGUGAAUGAUUUGUUCAAGGUUAUAGAGUCUGUGCAACUCUGUUACAGAAGGACAAAAUGGACUAAGACAGCUAUCAAGACUGCAUCCUCAGUGGCAGGUAGUUGAGACUGAGAGGAUCCAGGGUGGCAAGACUUUCACGCACACUUCAGAAUAAUGAAAAACAGUUAUUGGGAAAAUGUCAUGUCCUCACAGCUCACUCUACAUGCUGCUACUAAUCUUAUUUGUACAAGUACAGGCAUAAAUCCACUAACAACAGACAGCAGCUCUUUCCCUUUGUUACAAUUUAGUAUUGAUUUCUGUGCAGGAAGGUUGAAAUGAAUCCCAGAAUGGGUUUAAUUACGAAUAUACACAAAAAAGUAAUUGGCACAAUAAGUGAGGAGUUCGUUAGCAGGUUGCUUUUUUUUUUUUUUUUUUUUUAACAGAAUUAUAGUAUUCUCCUCAAUCAGCAGUAGUAAUCAACAAUGAAGAAAUAAAAAAUAGAGUCCUUGGCCCUACAUAAAAUUCAUUUCUCUUUCCUCUUUUUGUCAAUUUCUACAAAAAAGUUGCAAUGCCAUGCCUGUUUCUUGGUAUACCAAUGUUAAUAAUGACAUAAUAAAUGCCAAACUGGAAACUUGAAUUAGAAUGAGGCAUGGAAGAAAGAGGGUGAACAGUAUGUAUUCCCCAUUAAAAUACAGGAGGAGGCUGCCUUCCAAAACUGAUCUGAGUCUGAUAUGAGGUAAGCUAUCACUCUAUUUGUCAGCAUUUUUACAUUUUUGAUAGUCUUUCAAAUAGCUCUAAAAACUUACCUCAAUGCUAUCUUGUCUACUGAUGGUUUUUAUAUUGUAAAUAGAUGAGUCUGAAACUUCAUUUCACAAUGUGUUUCUUUCCUCACAGGUCGAUUGUGUUUCCACUAUCUCACUUUGUUCUGGGGACGCAAAUUGGUUUCUUGGGUCAUGCUGUUAUUAAUAUGAUUUUUUAAAAAAUAAUUGAAUUUAACACCAAGGUCAGUUGAGAAAACAAGCAAAAUGAAAAUGAUAAUUCUUGGUGUGAAAACAACAAAAAGUGAAAUGGAACACAAUGGUCUUCAUUGGUUACUUCAAAAUGUCUGAGAUAUGUUGGGCUUAUUAAUGGUAUAAUAUAGCAGAAAUGGGGCUUGCUGAGGCAUUGCUGUUCAUAUGAAUGGUCCAUUAGAAAUCAUGAUAGGCCAACAAGAAAAACUUCAUGGAUUUAUUUAGUUUUUUGCCCCUAAGUGUAGUGUUUCUUUCUCAUUACAGAAGUAUUUUCUGUAAUAAAUCAAUGUUAUAUUUUUGUUAUAAAAUUAAUAAUAAAUUCCUAUGAUUAUGAGGUUUGUCUCUGCCAGUAUGGG
ensembl:lncRNA